rnacentral:siRNA from 1 species
UCUAGUUUUCAAUGGUUGCAG